rnacentral:misc_RNA from 1 species
CACGUUCUUAUUACGGGAUGUGGUGAACACUAGGAGGUACAAUCUCUUUCAGCUUGCGCGCACACACAAGGUACGGCAACAACUGAUAGGGUAGGUUUUGACUGCAGCAGAACAACUGCUCUCUACUCGCUUGCCGGCAGUGGCUGCUCUCUAGGUGGUUGUGUCUCUAGCGUGCGCCGUGCAGCGGCAGCGUCUGGUCAGCAGGCAAGCGGUUCCGGCUCUCGUCGUUUUGCGAGUGUGCGAUAGCGAUGCAGCGCAUUCGACUUGUGGGGGUGGGGCGAACCGCCGUCGGCGCUUUGAAGCGGGACGCCAUCGAUCUGGCACGGGAGGCCCUGGAGCUCGCCUUUGCUGAGGCCAACAUCGCUGCCAAAGACGUCGGCGCCCUCAUCGCGACCCCCUCGCUCUCGUCUGGGCACUUCAUGCAAGCGCACUACCUCGCCACAAAAUUCCAGCUCACUGCUGCAAAUCCAGCGAUGCUGCUCAAAACGAUAGACACGGGUGGCGCCAGCCCGAUCAGCAGCAUCGGCGCGGCGCUAGACUUCUUCCGUGGCAUGCCGCGCCUCAACGUAGCUGUAGUGGUGUCGAGCGACGCGGUGCACACUCUGCCAAGUUCCGAGUUCGCGAAACGCUCGAACGAGAGCGUCCCUUCGCCCCACCUUGCAGAGCCGUACAUACCACAUGGCUACGACUUUUACGCGCAGUGGCAGAUGAAGCGGUAUGGGUUGAAGCGCGAGCAACUGGCAAUGGUGCCGGUGCUCAUGAGCGCCAUGUCCGUGCGGCACCCGGAUGCCAUGUGCAGGAAGCGCUACUCCUUGGAGGAAGUGCUCGGAGCUCGCCAAAUCGCACCCGUGACGAAUCUUCCCGAAUGCGCGCGCCGCGCAGACGGUGCGGUCGCAAUUGUGCUCGCGCGAGAGGAGCACUACAAGCAGCACCUCGCAGCGGGACCGCUCGACGGCCGCAGGCCGUACGUCCUUGGCGUCGGCGAAGCCUCCGGCCCGCUUUACCCGCCAGCCACGCACGAGGAAGUGACGUCUGAGACGUUUUCGUGCCAUCGCGCCAUGCGCAUGGCGUACGAGGCGACGGGUGGACUCUCCACCUCUGACAUCGACUUCUUCGGCUUGUACGACUGCUUCCCGAUCUGCCUGAUUCGCGCCUUGGAGGCGGCCGGGUUGUGCAGGGAGGGCGAGGGCGGGCAGAUGGUGGAAGAGGCCUACCGCAGGGCGGCGCAGCGUGGCGGCGAUGUGGACCCGAGCGAGUUCCCCAUCAAUACCCACGGCGGUCUCAUGUGCUUCGGAGCGCCAUGGGAGGUGCCGGCAAUGUACAACGUGGCGGAGGCUGUCGCGCAGUUGGGUGGUCAAGCGGGGCCGCGGCAGGUUCACCCUACCCCGCGACGUGCGCUUGUGUACGGCAACGGCGGCGUUUUUUCCGCCUCGGCGGUGGCGAUCCUCAGCACCGACGCACCGUAGGCCUCUGCAGCCCGCUGCAAGAUUUCUCUUUGCUCAUGCCGUGCGUGCGCACUCAACGGCAGUGUGGGGAUCCCAACGCACAUGCCUUCUGCGUGCGGCCGCCUGAGAUUUCACGACACAUCGGCUCGCUACCGUCACACUCCUUGUAUGGCACUACCUCUUUUUGCUCCGCUCCUGCGAGCGUCCUCUAGUCUUUCGUUUUGGCUUCCCUCCACCCCCCCCCCCCUUCCUCUCAUCUUGCCCGCACCCCGUGGCUGCGACGGUGCAACGGUGCUUAUUGCUGUUGACCUCUGCUCGUGUGUGAGUGUGCAUCGCCGUUGCAUGCAGCCAGCCGUUGCUGCCGAACGCCACCACCACCACCGCAGCACCCACAGUCCUCCCCCCUUCCCCCUCUCUCGCAAGCACUUCCCUCCCUUUGGUAGCCAUUGAGGCCUG